UUAAGUGACUAAGCGUACACGGUGGAUGCCUAGGCAGUCAGAGGCGAUGAAGGGCGUGCUAAUCUGCGAAAAGCGUCGGUAAGGUGAUAUGAACCGUUAUAACCGGCGAUACCCGAAUGGGGAAACCCAGUGCAAUUCGUUGCACUAUCGUUAAGUGAAUACAUAGCUUAACGAGGCGAACCGGGGGAACUGAAACAUCUAAGUACCCCGAGGAAAAGAAAUCAACCGAGAUUCCCCCAGUAGCGGCGAGCGAACGGGGAACAGCCCAGAACCUGAAUCAGUUCUUGUGUUAGUGGAAGCGUCUGGAAAGUCGCGCAGUAAAGGGUGAUAGCCCCGUACACUAAAAUGCAUUNUAGUUGCAAGGUAUAGACCCGAAACCCGGUGAUCUAGCCAUGGGCAGGUUGAAGGUUGGGUAACACUAACUGGAGGACCGAACCGACUAAUGUUGAAAAAUUAGCGGAUGACUUGUGGCUGGGGGUGAAAGGCCAAUCAAACCGGGAGAUAGCUGGUUCUCCCCGAAAGCUAUUUAGGUAGCGCCUCGUGAACUCAUCUUCGGGGGUAGAGCACUGUUUCGGCUAGGGGGCCAUCCCGGCUUACCAAACCGAUGCAAACUCCGAAUACCGAAGAAUGUUAUCACGGGAGACACACGGCGGGUGCUAACGUCCGUCGUGAAGAGGGAAACAACCCAGACCGCCAGCUAAGGUCCCAAAGUCAUGGUUAAGUGGGAAACGAUGUGGGAAGGCAUAGACAGCCAGGAUGUUGGCUUAGAAGCAGCCAUCAUUUAAAGAAAGCGUAAUAGCUCACUGGUCGAGUCGGCCUGCGCGGAAGAUGUAACGGGGCUAAACCAUGCACCGAAGCUGCGGCAGCGACGCUUAGGCGUUGUUGGGUAGGGGAGCGUUCUGUAAGCCGUUGAAGGUGGCCUGUGAGGGUUGCUGGAGGUAUCAGAAGUGCGAAUGCUGACAUAAGUAACGAUAAAGCGGGUGAAAAGCCCGCUCGCCGGAAGACCAAGGGUUCCUGUCCAACGUUAAUCGGGGCAGGGUGAGUCGACCCCUAAGGCGAGGCUGAAAAGCGUAGUCGAUGGGAAACAGGUUAAUAUUCCUGUACUCGGUGUUACUGCGAAGGGGGGACGGAGAAGGCUAGGCUAGCCGGGCGACGGUUGUCCCGGUUUAAGCGUGUAGGGGGGUGUUCCUGGUAAAUCCGGAACGCUAUCAACCCUGAGGCGUGAUGACGAUGCACUACGGUGCAGAAGUAGUUGAUGCCAAGCUUCCAGGAAAAGCCUCUAAGCAUCAGGUAACACAGAAUCGUACCCCAAACCGACACAGGUGGUCAGGUAGAGAAUACCAAGGCGCUUGAGAGAACUCGGGUGAAGGAACUAGGCAAAAUGGUGCCGUAACUUCGGGAGAAGGCACGCUGGCGCGUAGGUGAAGUCCCUUGCGGAUGGAGCUGAAGCCAGUCGCAGAUACCAGCUGGCUGCAACUGUUUAAUAAAAACACAGCACUGUGCAAACACGAAAGUGGACGUAUACGGUGUGACGCCUGCCCGGUGCUGGAAGGUUAAUUGAUGGGGUCAGCCGCAAGGCGAAGCUCUUGAUCGAAGCCCCAGUAAACGGCGGCCGUAACUAUAACGGUCCUAAGGUAGCGAAAUUCCUUGUCGGGUAAGUUCCGACCUGCACGAAUGGCGUAAUGAUGGCCAGGCUGUCUCCACCCGAGACUCAGUGAAAUUGAACUCGCUGUGAAGAUGCAGUGUACCCGCGGCAAGACGGAAAGACCCCGUGAACCUUUACUAUAGCUUGACACUGAACAUUGAGCCUUGAUGUGUAGGAUAGGUGGGAGGCUUUGAAGCGUGGACGCCAGUCUGCGUGGAGCCAACCUUGAAAUACCACCCUUUAAUGUUUGAUGUUCUAACUCGGCCCCAUAAUCUGGGGUGAGGACAGUGUCUGGUGGGUAGUUUGACUGGGGCGGUCUCCUCCCAAAGAGUAACGGAGGAGCACGAAGGUUAGCUAAUCACGGUCGGACAUCGUGAGGUUAGUGCAAAGGCAUAAGCUAGCUUGACUGCGAGAGUGACGGCUCGAGCAGGUACGAAAGUAGGUCUUAGUGAUCCGGUGGUUCUGAAUGGAAGGGCCAUCGCUCAACGGAUAAAAGGUACUCCGGGGAUAACAGGCUGAUACCGCCCAAGAGUUCAUAUCGACGGCGGUGUUUGGCACCUCGAUGUCGGCUCAUCACAUCCUGGGGCUGAAGUAGGUCCCAAGGGUAUGGCUGUUCGCCAUUUAAAGUGGUACGCGAGCUGGGUUUAGAACGUCGUGAGACAGUUCGGUCCCUAUCUGCCGUGGGCGUUGGAAGAUUGAGAGGGGUUGCUCCUAGUACGAGAGGACCGGAGUGAACGCACCACUGGUGUUCGGGUUGUCAUGCCAAUGGCACUGCCCGGUAGCUAAGUGCGGAAAAGAUAAGCGCUGAAAGCAUCUAAGCGCGAAACUUGCCUCGAGAUGAGUCUUCCCUGGGCCUUUAAGGUCCCUGAAGGAACGUUUAAGACUAAGACGUUGAUAGGCUGGGUGUGUAAGUGCAGCGAUGUAUUGAGCUAACCAGUACUAAUGAUCCGUGAGGCUUAACCUU
rnacentral:rRNA from 1 species